UACGAAGGGGGCUAGCGUUGCUCGGAAUCACUGGGCGUAAAGCGCACGCAGGCGGUCUUUUAAGUUUGACGUGAAAGCUCCCGGCUUAACUGGGAGAGGUCGUUGAAGACUGGAAGACUUGAGGCAAUGAGAGGGGUGUAGAAUUCCCGGUGUAGUGGUGGAAUGCGUAGAUAUCGGGGGGAAUACCAGUGGCGAAAGCGGCACCCUAGCGUUAGCCUGACGCUCAUGUGCGAAAGCGUGGGGAGCGAACGGG
rnacentral:rRNA from 1 species